rnacentral:lncRNA from 1 species
AUUGGGAGGGGUUGCCUCUCCCUGUGUCCACACAUAUGCCUUGAGUUGCUCUUCAGUGAAUAUCACUUUUCCUUUCAUGUUUUUUCUACAUGCUAUUAUCUGUAUGAAAUGAAGACCAAGAAAGGAUGGGAAGAAGGAGAAGAAAAAUUUUGAUUUAUCUCAGAAACUAUACUCCGAAGUGAGAGUCCUGGUUGCAGCAUCCUUCACCGAAGCACGAAGCAGAAUCAAGCUGUUGCCAUGAAGCUUGUUUCAAGAGCUCAGAAAUACUCCAGGGACUCCUUUACUACUGCUUUUCAAAGAGGCCUUUUUUUCUCUCUUCUCCUUUUCCUGCAAAGAGGGUUAUAUCCAGUGCUCAAGGACAUGGGAUUAUCAGCCUAAGGCAUGAGUACAUGCUGUGGAAACAGAAAUAUGUAUGAAGGGAUGUAUGAAACCACAGAAUAAAUGGAAUCCACAUUCUUGAAGUAGCUACAACUCUACUUGAGGGUAAGUAAUUAAGUAUUUUAAAAUGCAAAAAAGUAUAUAUUAUGAGGUAGAAACUAAAUCUUUAUUUUUAGGAUAAAACAUUUGAAUUCAAAGGGACUUUCAGCAUGUCGGGAAGCAAGUCUGACACAGGAAUAAUGUCCUCUGAAGCAAAGGCUUUUUCAGUGGCAAAGCUUAAGAAUGCUGAUCUGCAUGAUGGGAAAAUUUAGUGUUGGCACAAGAAAUUAACUAAUAUGUUUUUCUGUUGUCUGAAAAGGAAAAUAAUGCUUGGCUUCAGGUAUUUGGAAAUACUGCACAUUCGGGCUAAGAAUGAGAUGACCAUUUUCUCAUUUUCAACUAAUUAUUUCAAGAUACCAAAACAAAACAAACAAAUGCCAUUGGUGAGUACCUGCUAUAUACAAAAUGAGCUGUAUGUAGUGAAGUGGCCAGGAAAGGCAGAGUUCACAGCCAUAGGUAGGGCAGGCCCUGGCCACCCUUUAGGGGAGCAAGAAAGGUAAACCAGGUGGAUGAAACAUAUCCUAUAGCAUAUUGUAAUUGGUAAGUGGAUGCAAGUGGUUUCUUAGCAAGUCAGAGGCAUCGGGCUGUCUAAAAGAGGUAAGAAGAUUAUACUGACAGAGAGGUGGAGCAAACAAUGAGGUGUCUGGGAGGAAGCAUUUGAAGAGCUGCAAGGAGGUCUGAUUUAUGGUAGAAAAACUGAGUCCCCAGGAACUGGGGAAGUGACUGGCAAGAAGAGGACAGGGCUUCUAGUCUAGAGGAAUCAAGGCAUAGGACAUAUUGCUUACCUAGAGAUUCAGUCAGGGGUAUGGGAUCCAGCCUGGGUAUAGUUUUUGGAAGGCUGCUUACUUGAUUGGGUUGGAGUGGGACUAACAGCAAGUGUGAUUUGAUGCUGACCCUUCAGUACUGGCCUGCGUAGCUUACAACAGUUACCCUGUCUAAGAAGGAGAUUGAUUCCAGAACCCAGAAUAAAGCAGAGAAUGCAGAUGGUGGUCACAUGGGUUCAGGUAAGGAGUAAGGAAAGUCACUGGCCCUUCUCCAAGUGCUGUGCAGGUGCAAAAGUUAUUUAAUUUUCUGUUUCUCUCUUGAAUGAAUAUGCUACCUAUUUGGUGGUAUAACACGUAAACUCAUUCAUAUUAAAUGUCAAUACAUGCUUUAAUGUUUUAAUCAAUAAAUGUACUAAAUAAUUUAAAUUUACAAGGGAUUUUGGAAACAGAUCCAACUUUAAGCAUGGCAGGAAAUUGAUAUUUGGACAAGGAAUGUUAGCACAUUCUUAGAUCAUACUCAGAUUUAAGGUAAGACUACUCUAUUUUUCAAACCAAUCUAGGUAUAUAAAACCAAAUCUAGUUAGAAUGAGAAUACUAAAUUAAACAUAAGUUUGUUAUUCAGAUAUUCCAUGUAGAACUGUGGGAUGAAGUGCAAUCAGCUGUGACUGGUUGGAAUAAGGACCUGCCUUAUCCCAUGGAGAGUUAGAGAAUCUGUUCCAACAAGGACAGAAGGUCCAGGUGGGAAGAGCUCUGGAAAACAAAACUCUCUGACAGCGCUCUUGAAAGCUCUGCUGGCAUCCCAAGGCACGUAGAUAGUACCUAUACAUCUCAUCAGGAACAUGGAUGGUUCUCUGCUAUCAGCUGAAGUGCUGUGACCACAAAACUGAAAAUUCCCAUUCUGUGUCCUUGCCAAUAAAGAAUGUCCAUCAGAGCACGCCCAGUAUCCUAGCUCCUUAUCCAGACUGUGCUUCUCAAUGUGACAAGGAAGACUGCAACCCUAUUUGCUUCUGAUAACCUUCCUAUGACUAAGCCUAUUCAGUGGAACGAUGAGGAUAAAGGCCUUUCUGAUGAUCCCCUUCCAUUUAAUAUCUUCUCUGGUUGAGAUUCCUGGGGAGGACACUCAUGACAAUUGUGGUUUUUGGAGGAUCUAUCUUUAGGCAGCUAAAAGGAAGUUCAGAGAAAGCCCCUUCCUAUACUUCGCAGGAGAAAAAAGAGCAAAGGACAAUCUAACUGGCUGAAUGAGAGGAGCGGGAAGAAGAAAGGGCCAAAAGAUGACAGAAAAUUGCCCUUUCAGAUGUUCUAAAAUGGCCAAAAUAGCAGUGACUCCUAUUUUGUAACUUGGUGAUUCUUAAUACAGCUUCCAUUUAAUGGUCUAAGAUUAGGAGACCACAAGUCCCUGGAGCAACAGGAGCAAAUGUGUGCUACAACAACAUGACCCCAGCAAGCAAGAUUAUUUCUGUGCACUGAUAGGAAAAGGAAGCAAGCCAUGAGUGCCUGUUGAAGCUGGAAAAGCAAGAUUGAUGUUGAGGCUUGAUUGAAGGAGUGCAAGGUCACUCACAGAAGAAGUCAUGGUGCAAGAGUACAUCUCAAUCCUGCCCUAGCCUGGAAACAGCAUGCUCUGCUGCAUUUGCAUGCCCAAGGCACUGCUUGUCCUAAGCCCCAUCCUAGAAACUCUCUAUAGCUUUAUUUCCCUUAAGAAGGUAGAAAAACAUCAACAACCUAUCCGUACUAGCUGAAUGGCCUCUAGGCCUAUUGGGCAAGUACACCCAGAUGAGCAUCACUCUUAAGUGGCUGCUUCAGGUCAAGGUCUUUUGUGUUGGGGCAGCUGCAAACUGGCCUCUUUGGCUAUCCCAAGACCCUCUAAGUCCAAGGAGCUUUCAACCUCUAGUGAUGUUCAAUCUCUGUAAAGCUGUGUAAUGGGGGAUAAACAUUAAAGUUGUUUCACAUUUAAAAAAAAA